AUAAACUGAUAGUUUCCAGAGAAGAAAGAUGUGGCAGAUGAGAGAAAUUAAGUGAAGAGGAUUAAGAGUUACAAAACUCCAAUUACAAAAUAAAUAAGCCACAGGGAUGAAAAGUACAGCAUACGUAACACAGUAAAGAAUACUGUCCUAACUUUAUAGGAUGACAGAUGGUGUCUACCCUAAUCAUGGGACAAUGGAGUGCGCUCAAUAAGAGACAGAGCAUGUGCAACAUGCAUGCCAGCCAUUCCUUGCUGCCUCUUCACACAUGGAGCUCAUGAUACUGCAUAAGCACAGGAUCCUGGCAUAGCCAUGAUGCAUAGGCAUGACAAGCCAAACUCAAGACCAGUGCAAGGGCUACCGUCUUUGUAAGCACAAGAGAUUAGGACAUAUGUGCCCGGGGCAAAUACAAUGUUGAAGACACAGGAAGGAAAAAAAAACCAUCAACAAUUGAAGGAGAGAAGCUUCAGAAGAAAUCAACCAUCUAGUGGAGCAUCCCAUCCCAAGGCCUUAGCUCUUUGCCUACCUUGCAAUUCUGUGCUGUGGCACUAUCGCCAAUACUGGAUUCACUUUCCACCCUUGUUGCCUGUCCUCCUGGGAUGCUGAGGCCUAGAAUACAUUCACAGGGAGCCACUGCUUUCAGACUUCGGAUACUGCAAAAAAGAAGCUGGUGCAUGAAGAGGAGAGAUGCAUGAAGACAGCGAUGUCAGGAUCUCUAAAUCCCUGUCUGUACCCACUCAUCAAGGUGGGCUGCACUUACCCAAAAUGCUAUUCUUGACACAGUUCUCUCCACAUUCUGGUAGCUGCUUGCUUUCCUCAUACCCUGAGGUCUAGGGGUGGUUAACGGUUUCUCUGCUCUCUCCCGAUCCCAAUUCCUGCUCUAAACAUGGUUCCCCAUCCCUUCCCCCAUAACUGUACAAAUGCCUCCUUUGUGA